ACGCUGGCGGCGUGCCUAAUACAUGCAAGUAGAACGCUGAAGCUUGGUGCUUGCACCGAGCGGAUGAGUUGCGAACGGGUGAGUAACGCGUAGGUAACCUGCCUCUUAGCGGGGGAUAACUAUUGGAAACGAUAGCUAAUACCGCAUAAAAGUCGAUAUCGCAUGAUGUUGAUUUGAAAGGUGCAAUUGCAUCACUAAGAGAUGGACCUGCGUUGUAUUAGCUAGUUGGUGAGGUAACGGCUCACCAAGGCGACGAUACAUAGCCGACCUGAGAGGGUGAUCGGCCACACUGGGACUGAGACACGGCCCAGACUCCUACGGGAGGCAGCAGUAGGGAAUCUUCGGCAAUGGGGGCAACCCUGACCGAGCAACGCCGCGUGAGUGAAGAAGGUUUUCGGAUCGUAAAGCUCUGUUGUAAGAGAAGAACGAGUGUGAGAGUGGAAAGUUCACACUGUGACGGUAACUUACCAGAAAGGGACGGCUAACUACGUGCCAGCAGCCGCGGUAAUACGUAGGUCCCGAGCGUUAUCCGGAUUUAUUGGGCGUAAAGCGAGCGCAGGCGGUUAGAUAAGUCUGAAGUUAAAGGCUGUGGCUUAACCAUAGUACGCUUUGGAAACUGUUUAACUUGAGUGCAGAAGGGGAGAGUGGAAUUCCAUGUGUAGCGGUGAAAUGCGUAGAUAUAUGGAGGAACACCGGUGGCGAAAGCGGCUCUCUGGUCUGUAACUGACGCUGAGGCUCGAAAGCGUGGGGAGCAAACAGGAUUAGAUACCCUGGUAGUCCACGCCGUAAACGAUGAGUGCUAGGUGUUGGGUCCUUUCCGGGACUCAGUGCCGCAGCUAACGCAUUAAGCACUCCGCCUGGGGAGUACGACCGCAAGGUUGAAACUCAAAGGAAUUGACGGGGGCCCGCACAAGCGG
rnacentral:rRNA from 1 species